UGGCGGGGCCGGUGCGCCUCGGCGCGGCCCCUCCCGCGGACACGGUCCCCGUGAGGCUCGGGGAUCCCCGGAGCUGCCCCCGCGUGCCCCGGCCGGGCUGCGCCGCGGCGUGUCCGCUGGGUUGUGCAAGGCUGGUGUAUUAAUAGCCACGCAGACGGGAGAAGUGCCCGUGACUAAGGCCGUGGGCUCAGAUUCCUUUUUCCAAGCCGGGAGCGGGCAGCUCAGAGUAACCCAGCCGUGACGCACCGCUCCCCCUCCCCGGGCCGCGGCUGCCCGGAGUUUCCCGGCGGCAGCGGGGGCUAUAAGAACGGGGGGCGGUGCGGGGACGGCAGCGCUGGAGCCCGCCUGCAGCCCCGCACACACCGAGGCUGUGCCGCCGGACAUGAGGGUCCCCGUUCCAUCUCCUCCAGGGCUGACUUCGACUCCAUGUCUCCCCAGGGAACACUCAGGGAUGAGAGCAGGCACGAACUGUGGGCAUGCUGUCCACAGAGUCUGCUUCCAUGGGUAGAGCCCACAGGCCAGCUGGGAGAUCCAGGAUGGACACUUUGCUGAUGCUUCACCUCUCUCCCUGGUGCACCGUUUCCCCGCAGGCGCCGGAGGAAGCCCCAGCACAGCAGUGACGGCCUCACCAGCAGCCCUGCUUGGGGAGGAAGUGGGAAGGAGAGGACUUAGGAGGUCAGCAGCAAGGUCAUCUGCAUCCCAGCUGGGGUGGGACACUCCUGCCGGUGAGGAAGAGGAGCUCUGCUCUUCCAGUCCUCGGAGGAGUGUUUCAUGGUUGGGAGGUACCAAAUAACUCCCGUAAAAUGCUGUCCCAGCUACACUCUGCUUCACAUUGCCACUGGGACAGGAACUUUGGUAUUCCUGCAAUGUCCUUACUGUCUGUCUUGUCCAAAACAACAGAAUAAACAAUACCAAGUCUA